rnacentral:lncRNA from 1 species
UGCCAGUACUGCGGCAGGGAUCAUGGGGACCGACCCUGCUACCGCCUCAACAACACCUGUCGCAUAUGCGGCAGUGCCCAGCACUAUGCGAGGGAGUGCCCUAGGAACCAGAAUCAAGGGAGGCCUCCAAUCCAGGGCAGAGUUUACAACCUUAUCCAGAAGGAUGCCGAUGCAGACCCAGACGUGGUACAUGGUAUGUAUACUAUCUCUGGCCACAUUGCUCAUAUUUUGUUUGAUACUGGUGCAUCACAUUCUUUUAUUUCACAUGUUCUUGCUUCCAAAAUUUGUGUAUCACCUGAUAGACUUGAUUCAUUAUUGUUUGUAUCUACCGCUGGGGGGGAGACAUUACUAGGAGAGGUUGUCUACAGGGCAUGUGCCGUGGAGAUAGCAGAUAGGAAAUUGAGGGUAGACCUGAUAGGGUUAGACACAGGGGAUUUUGAUGUAAUCCUAGGAAUGGAUUGGCUGGCGGCGUAUCACGCCACCAUAGACUGCUUUAAUAAAAAGAUUGUAUUUAAUCCUCCCAACGAGGAGCCAUUUACAAGUUAAUAAAAUUAUUCGGUACUGAUUUUCCCUAAUGACAAAUUCUUUUCUUCUUAAUUCCCAAUGCGUUGAUAUUGUAUUUUCCCUAACUAGGUAAACCCAAGAAGGAAGUUUGUAUCCAAGAGAUUCCAGUAGUCCGAGACUUUCCAGACGUAUUUCCGGAUGAACUGCCCGGUCUACCAGGGGACAGAGAGGUCGAGUUCACCAUAGACUUACAGCCAGGAACCCAACCCAUCUCGGUAGCUCCUUACCGAAUGAGCCGCAUCGAGAUGGAAGAGCUAAGGAAACAAAUUACUGAGCUACAAAACAGUGGUUUCAUUAGACACAGCAUUUCCCCAUAGGGUGCCGGGGUUACUUUUGCAAGGAAAUGAGAUGGAACGUUGAGACUGUGUAUUGAUUAUAGAAGGAUAAACAAGGUAACAAUUAAAAACAAGUACCCUCUCCCCCGGAUUGAUGACCUUUUCGAUCAGUUGCAGGGUGCACAGGUCUUUUCUAAAAUAGAUCUACGAUCAGGUUACCAUCAGGUAAAAGUGAGAGCAGAAGACAUCCCCAAGACGGCAUUCCGAACCAGGUACGGACACUAUGAGUUCCUGGUUAUGCCGUUUGGGCUAACCAACGCCCCGGCCAUCUUUAUGGAUCUAAUGAACAGAAUCUUCAGAGAGUUUUUGGAUAAAUUUGUCAUCGUGUUCAUCGAUGAUAUCUUAGUCUACUCAAAAAGUAGAGAAGAACAUGCUCAUCAUCUUGCCCAAGUCCUCCAGGUACUCAGGGAAAAGAAGUUGUAUGCAAAGUUGAGCAAGUGUGGAUUUUGGCUCGAGCAAACCGCCUUCCUAGGACAUGUUAUAUCGAAGGAAGGGGUGCCGGUGAACCCCGAAAAGGUUGAAGCGGUACUUGGUUGGGAAAGGCUGACAACAGUUAAGGAAAUUCGCAGUUUCCUAUGGAUGGCGGGUUAUUACCGCCGGUUUGUCGAAGGGUUCUCCAGUCUAGCGGCCCCUCUAACCCGACUCACAAAGAGAAUGCAAAGUUUGAUUGGAAUGAGAACUGCCAAAGGAGUUUUUCCGAAUUGAAGAAGCGACUGACUACUGCACCCGUGCUGGCUCUACCGAGUGGAUCAGGAGGGUAUACAGUUUAUAGUGAUGCCUCCUAUCUGGGCCUGGGUUGUGUCGUGAUGCAGCAUGGAAAGGUUAUAGCAUAUGGGUCUAGACAGCUAAAGAAUCAUGAGAAGAACUAUCCUACCCAUGAUUUGGAGCUUGCCGCAAUCAUACACGCCUUGAAAAUCUGGCGCCAUUAUUUGUAUGGAGAGACCUUUCAGAUCUACACCGAUCAUAAGAGCUUGAAGCACAUCUUCACUCAGAAGGAUCUCAACAUGCGUCAGAGAAGGUGGAUGGAACUCCUCAAGGACUAUGAUUGUGACAUCCUAUACCAUCCAGGUAAGGGCAACGUAGUAGCCGAUGCCCUCAGUAGGAAGAGUGCAGGCACCCUAGCCCAUCUGAUGGUUUCGGAAUGCAGGUCCAUUGGGGCUACGCAGCAGGUUCGACUGCAAGAUCUGAAGAGGGCCACAUGUUUGAGCCACCUGGCAGCCCAACCCGAGUUAAUCCAAAGAAUAAAGGAAGCCCAGUCAAUCGACCCCGCCCUAGUAAACCGCAAGAAGGAUGCAGAACAGGGAGUGAACUCAGAAUUUCAGAUCUCUGCCGACGGAUUGAUUCGUUUCAAGGACAGAAUGUGUGUCCCAGACGACAAUGAAUUAAAAAGAGACAUCAUGACAGAGUCCCAUAGUUCAAGGUUCGCCAUGCAUCCAGGAAGUACAAAAAUGUACCAAACUAUGCGACCCCGAUUCUGGUGGAAUGGGAUGAAGAGAGAUAUAGCCGACUUUAUAUCUAAGUGCUUGGUAUGUCAGCAGGUCAAGGCAGAACAUCAACGCCCAGGGGGGUUGCUUCAGCCUUUACCGAUUCCAGAAUGGAAGUGGGAACACAUCACCAUGGACUUCGUAUCGGGACUACCCAAGGCACGAUCGGGACACGAUGCCAUAUGGGUAAUUGUUGACCGACUCACUAAGUCUUCCCACUUCCUGGCCAUCAGAAUGACUGAUUCGUUGGACAAGUUGGCAAGAAUGUAUGUCCGAGAAAUAGUCAGACUGCAUGGGGUCCCAGUAACAGUGGUGUCCGACAGGGAUCCCAGAUUCACUUCUCGGUUCUGGAAUAGUUUCCAGCAAGCUAUGGGAACAAAGCUGUCCCUUAGUACUGCCUUCCACCCCCAAACCGAUGGACAAUCAGAGAGGACAAUCCGUACGCUGGAGGAUAUGCUCCGAGCUUGUGUCCUUGACUCCGGAGGCCAUUGGGACGACCAUCUACCCCUGAUAGAGUUUGCCUACAACAACAGUUACCAAGCAAGCAUCGGCAUGGCCCCAUACGAGGCGCUAUACGGGCGUCCGUGCAGGUCACCGAUUUGUUGGGAGGAAGUGGGCGAUAGAAGAUUGUUUGGCCCGGAUUUGGUGGAAAAAACCACGUCCAAGAUAGUUAAGAUCAAGAAGAACAUCCAGACAGCUCAGAGUAGGCAGAAGAGCUAUGCUGAUACCCGGAGGAGAGACCUGGCCUUUGAGAAAGGUGACCGGGUGUUUCUUAAAGUCACCCCCUUCAAGGGAAUUAGUAGGUUCGGCAGAAGGGGAAAAUUAAACCCCAUAUACAUUGGACCCUUUGAAAUUUUAGACAAGAUUGGUACCACUGCCUACAGACUUGCACUGCCCCCUGAGCUCUCCCGGGUUCACAAUGUGUUUCAUGUAUUUAUGCUGCGCAAGUACAAUCCGGACCCUUUUCAUGUCGUGGCUCAUGAACCGCUUUCACUCCGAGAGGACUUGUUUUAUGAAGAAGUACCGAUCAGUAUCACGGACCGAGAAAGCAGAAUACUCCGUAACCGGGAAAUAUCAUUUGUAAAAGUUUUGUGGCAGAACCACACGCCUAGGGAGGCGACUUGGGAGCUGGAAUCAGAAUUUAGGGCCCAAUAUCCUCAUUUGUUUGAUCAAGAGUAAUGAGGCAAAUUUGGGGACCAAAUUUCUUUAUGGGGGGGAGAGUUGUAGCACCCGGAAAGGAGGAAAAAAAAAAAAAAAAAAAAAAGGGGGGGCCACGUCAGCAGCCACGUCAGCAGGCCCGGUCAGCAGUCCCGGCCAACCGGGGCCUGCCACGUGGUAAGACCGCGUCACUCCGAAAGGAGCCACGUUGGCGAUCCGCGUGGGUGCGAUCCGACGGCCCAGAUCAAUCGCGCGAUCGGACGGCCUAGAUUCAAUCGCACGGACGGCCCAGAUUCAAUCAAAAACGAACGGCCCAGAUUAAAACGAAAUGAACGGCUGUGAUCAAAAGGUAAGGGGUUAUAAAUAGAACCCCCACACCAGACCACAAAACCCUAGCCGCCCGCCGCUCGCCGGAGAAGACGAACCAGAGGCCGAUAACCGCCACCCGCCGCCGCACCGGGGAAAUUUCCGACCGCCGAUCGAGGUUGACCGAAGCCGAAUCACCAAAACACGAACCUCGCCGGAGAGCCGCCGUACCCGAGAGCGCCGCCGCCGGUACUGUUAGUGUGUUUCAGUUCCCCGGGAAAAAUUCAGGGAAAAUUAGGGACGGCCUGCAGGCGCACUGUGAAUCGUAUUCGGAUCCCGAAAACAAGUAAGGACCCCUCACCCUAUUUCUUAUCACGGUAUUAAAGUUCAAAAUGAUAAAACGGUAUUUCUUGAAUUAACGCAUGUGUGAAAUUGCUUAAGGUUGCUAAUGGAGCCCGAGUCUAGUGUGAUCGAUGAUUUACUGUUAUUUGGCCUGUUUACAGCUUUAAAUGCAAAAUGAGGUUGAUGUGUUUCAUUUUACAGAUUUGUGUGCAUGUACUACGUUUUUAUUAAUUAUGGGUUGAAUGACUGAAAAACUGAUACUGUAUGUUGUCUGUUUGGUAUGAAUUACGAUUUGCUUGUUUAAAUGUGAAUUGAUGAUGCUGAUUGAGGAAAAGGAAAAUGAAAGAUUGUGUAAACUGAUAAUUGUAUUAUGGGGGUCAGCCUGACUAGAUAUCCUGGGAGAUGGUGGACGGACCGGGUCCGUAGGGAACCCUACCGGGAUUGUGGUCUCACAUGCCGGACGGGGUAUGGAGAUCUUAUGGUUUUGGCGCCCAUACCGGACGGGGUAUGGGGACGGCCCGUUUCACCCUCAUACCGGACGGGGUAUUGAGGUUUAUGGUUUUGGCGCCCAUACCGGACGGGGUAUGGGGACGGCCCGUUUCACCCUCAUACCGGACGGGGUAUUGAGGUUCAUGGUUUUGGCGCCCAUACCGGACGGGGUAUGGGGACGGCCCUGGAAACUGAUUAUGAAUGUUAAAGGUUAACGGGUAGCGGAACCCCUAUGGACCCCCACGGAUACUAGUAGGCUGGUAAAUGAGAAAAAGAUAUGUUGUACAAUGAUUGAAUUACAAGAGGCGUGAUAAGUGUUAUGUUUUACAGUUUAGAUUAUUCAAUGAUUAUGAUAAUGUUAUUGUUUUUCUCAUAUUGUUUUCAUAAAUUCCACCAAGGUAAGUGGAUGGUCAAAGUUUUAUUAUUGAUAAAAGGUUUUGUUGUUAAUAAACGAGUUUAUUGUAAAUUAUGCUCCAUUGGUCUUUUUGUGGUUUUUUACCCACCUUUAUCUCCGUGACGGUGAGAUAUCGUGAUGUUCUUACUGGGCUAGUGUAGCUCACUCCUUAAUUAACCAUUUCAGAUCAGGAAGACAUGGUUCCCGAGCCCGUUCCGCAGGAGGACGAC